rnacentral:rRNA from 1 species
CGUAGCCGACCUGAGAGGGUGAUCGGCCACACUGGAACUGAGACACGGUCCAGACUCCUACGGGAGGCAGCAGUAGGGAAUCUUCCGCAAUGGGCGAAAGCCUGACGGAGCAACGCCGCGUGAGUGAUGAAGGUCUUCGGAUCGUAAAACUCUGUUAUCAGGGAAGAACAAAUGUGUAAGUAACUGUGCACAUCUUGACGGUACCUGAUCAGAAAGCCACGGCUAACUACGUGCCAGCAGCCGCGGUAAUACGUAGGUGGCAAGCGUUAUCCGGAAUUAUUGGGCGUAAAGCGCGCGUAGGCGGUUUUUUAAGUCUGAUGUGAAAGCCCACGGCUCAACCGUGGAGGGUCAUUGGAAACUGGAAAACUUGAGUGCAGAAGAGGAAAGUGGAAUUCCAUGUGUAGCGGUGAAAUGCGCAGAGAUAUGGAGGAACACCAGUGGCGAAGGCGACUUUCUGGUCUGUAACUGACGCUGAUGUGCGAAAGCGUGGGGAUCAAACAGGAUUAGAUACCCU